rnacentral:tRNA from 2 species
UAAAAGAUAAGCUAAGCUAAGCUAAUGGGCUCAUACCUCAUUUAUAGAAAUUAAAAUUUUCUUCUUUUAA